UACGUAGGUGGCGAGCGUUAUCCGGAAUGAUUGGGCGUAAAGGGUGCGUAGGUGGCAGAUCAAGUCUGGAGUAAAAGGUAUGGGCUCAACCCGUACUUGCUCUGGAAACUGAUCAGCUAGAGAACAGAAGAGGACGGCGGAACUCCAUGUGUAGCGGUAAAAUGCGUAGAUAUAUGGAAGAACACCGGUGGCGAAGGCGGCCGUCUGGUCUGGAUUCUGACACUGAAGCACGAAAGCGUGGGGAGCAAAUA
rnacentral:rRNA from 1 species